rnacentral:tRNA from 1 species
GAGGGUGUAGCUCAGUGGUAGAGCACAUGCUUUGCAUGCACGAGGUCCUGGGUUCAAUCCCCAGUCCCUCCA